rnacentral:rRNA from 1 species
CACGUAGGGGGCGAGCGUUGUCCGGAUUUAUUGGGCGUAAAGAGCUCGUAGGCGGUUUCGUUAGUCGGGUGUGAAAACUUCAGGCUCAACCUGGAGACGCCACCCGAUACUGCGAUGACUAGAGUCCGGUAGGGGAGUGUGGAAUUCCUGGUGUAGCGGUGAAAUGCGCAGAUAUCAGGAAGAACACCCGUGGCGAAGGCGGCUCUCUGGGACGGUACUGACGCUGAGACGCGAAAGCGUGGGGAGCGAACAGG